rnacentral:rRNA from 1 species
CCUACGGGGGGCAGCAGUGGGGAAUAUUGGGCAAUGGGCGCAAGCCUGACCCAGCAACGCCGCGUGAAGGAAGAAGGCUUUCGGGUUGUAAACUUCUUUUGACAGGGAAGAGUAGAAGACGGUACCUGUCGAAUAAGCCACGGCUAACUACGUGCCAGCAGCCGCGGUAAUACGUAGGUGGCAAGCGUUGUCCGGAUUUACUGGGUGUAAAGGGCGUGUAGCCGGGUUGACAAGUCAGAUGUGAAAUCCUGCGGCUUAACCGCAGAACUGCAUUUGAAACUGUUGAUCUUGAGUACUGGAGAGGCAGACGGAAUGCGUAGUGUAGCGGUGAAAUGCGUAGAUAUUAUGAGGAACACCAGUGGCGAAGGCAGUCUGCUGGACAGCAACUGACGGUGAGGCGCGAAAGCGUGGGGAGCAAACAGGAUUAGAUACCCUAGUAGUC